rnacentral:rRNA from 1 species
UCGAGGGGAAACGGCAUUAAGUGCUUGCACUUUUUGGACGUCGACCGGCGCACGGGUGAGUAACGCGUAUCCAACCUGCCCCUUACCAGGGAAUAACCCGUUGAAAGACGGACUAAUGCCCUAUGCAGUCCUUUGACGGCAUCAGAUUAGGACUAAAGAUUCAUCGGUAUGGGAUGGGGAUGCGUCUGAUUAGCUUGUUGGCGGGGUAACGGCCCACCAAGGCAUCGAUCAGUAGGGGUUCUGAGAGGAAGGUCCCCACAUAGGAACUGAGACACGGUCCUAACUCC